rnacentral:rRNA from 1 species
UAAACGACUCUCGGCAACGGAUAUCUCGGCUCUCGCAUCGAUGAAGAACGUAGCGAAAUGCGAUACUUGGUGUGAAUUGCAGAAUCCCGUGAACCAUCGAGUCUUUGAACGCAAGUUGCGCCCGAAGCCAUUAGGUUGAGGGCACGUCUGCCUGGGCGUCUCACG